rnacentral:sRNA from 13 species
GCUGGGCAUGGUGGUGCGUGCCUGUAAUCCCAGCUACUCAGGAGGCUAAGGUGCAAGGAUUGCUUGAGCCCAGGAGGUCCAGGCUGCAGUGAGCCAAGAUUUUGCCACUGUACUCCAGCCUGGGCAACAAAGCGAGACCAUCUCAG